GACGAGGAGCUUGCUCCUCUGACGUUAGCGGCGGACGGGUGAGUAACACGUGGAUAACCUACCUAUAAGACUGGGAUAACUUCGGGAAACCGGAGCUAAUACCGGAUAAUAUAUUGAACCGCANGGUUCAAUAGUGAAAGACGGUUUUGCUGUCACUUAUAGAUGGAUCCGCGCCGCANUAGCUAGUUGGUAAGGUAACGGCUUACCAAGGCAACGAUGCGUAGCCGACCUGAGAGGGUGAUCGGCCACACUGGAACUGAGACACGGUCCAGACUCCUACGGGAGGCAGCAGUAGGGAAUCUUCCGCAAUGGGCGAAAGCCUGACGGAGCAACGNCGCGUGAGUGAUGAAGGUCUUCGGAUCGUAAAACUCUGUUAUUAGGGAAGAACAAAUGUGUAAGUAACUAUGCACGUCUUGACGGUNCCUAAUCAGAAAGCCACGGCUAACUACGUGCCANCAGCCGCGGUAAUACNUAGGUGGCAAGCGUUAUCCGGAAUUAUUGGGCGUAAAGCGCGCGUAGGCGGUUUUUUAAGUCUGAUGUGAAAGCCCACGGCUCANCCGUGGAGGGUCAUUGGAAACUGGAAAACUUGAGUGCAGAAGAGGAAAGUGGAAUUCCAUGUGUAGCGCUGAAAUGCGCAGAGAUAUGGAGGAACACCAGUGGCGAAGGCGACUUUCUGGUCUGUAACUGACGCUGAUGUGCGAAAGCGUGGGGAUCAAACAGGAUUAGAUACCCUGGUAGUCCACGCCGUAAACGAUGAGUGCUAAGUGUUAGGGGGUUUCCGCCCCUUAGUGCUGCAGCUAACGCAUUAAGCACUCCGCCUGGGGAGUACGACCGCAAGGUUGAAACUCAAAGGAAUNGACGGGGACCCGCA
rnacentral:rRNA from 1 species